AGAGUUUGAUCAUGGCUCAGGAUGAACGCUGGCGGCGUGCCUAACACAUGCAAGUCGAGCGAUCUUCUUCGGAAGAGAGCGGCGGACGGGUGAGUAACGCGUGGGUAACCUGCCCUGUACACACGGAUAACAUACCGAAAGGUAUGCUAAUACGAGAUAAUAUACUUUUAUCGCAUGGUAGAAGUAUCAAAGCUUUUGCGGUACAGGAUGGACCCGCGUCUGAUUAGCUAGUUGGUAAGGUAACGGCUUACCAAGGCGACGAUCAGUAGCCGACCUGAGAGGGUGAUCGGCCACAUUGGAACUGAGACACGGUCCAAACUCCUACGGGAGGCAGCAGUGGGGAAUAUUGCACAAUGGGCGAAAGCCUGAUGCAGCAACGCCGCGUGAGCGAUGAAGGCCUUCGGGUCGUAAAGCUCUGUCCUCAAGGAAGAUAAUGACGGUACUUGAGGAGGAAGCCCCGGCUAACUACGUG
rnacentral:rRNA from 1 species